AGCGGCGGACGGGUGAGUAACGCGUGGGUAACCUGCCCUAUACACAUGGAUAACAUACUGAAAAGUUUACUAAUACAUGAUAAUAUAUAUUCGCGGCAUCGCAGAUAUAUCAAAGUGUUAGCGGUAUAGGAUGGACCCGCGUCUGAUUAGCUAGUUGGUGAGAUAACUGCCCACCAAGGCGACGAUCAGUAGCCGACCUGAGAGGGUGAUCGGCCACAUUGGAACUGAGACACGGUCCAAACUCCUACGGGAGGCAGCAGUGGGGAAUAUUGCACAAUGGGCGAAAGCCUGAUGCAGCAACGCCGCGUGAACGAUGAAGGUCUUCGGAUCGUAAAGUUCUGUUGCAGGGGAAGAUAAUGACGGUACCCUGUGAGGAAGCCCCGGCUAACUACGUGCCAGCAGCCGCGGUAAUACGUAGGGGGCUAGCGUUAUCCGGAUUUACUGGGCGUAAAGGGUGCGUAGGUGGUCCUUCAAGUCGGUGGUUAAAGGCUACGGCUCAACCGUAGUAAGCCGCCGAAACUGGAGGACUUGAGUGCAGGAGAGGAAAGUGGAAUUCCCAGUGUAGCGGUGAAAUGCGUAGAUAUUGGGAGGAACACCAG
rnacentral:rRNA from 1 species